rnacentral:misc_RNA from 1 species
AGCUAUUCUUGACGUUUUUUUUUCUUGCAAAGAAUGUAAUCUAAGAAGUUAUGUAUUCUGUCUGGAAGUUGUUCCUUUGAAAAAAAAACGUCAAGAAUAGCUAAUAGAAUGUUGUUGCAUAGGAAAAUCCCAACAUGUAACAUCUUGAAUUCGCAUACUUCUAAGUUCAAUCUGCUCACUGUAAUGAUAUCUCCAAUGCUUUUAGUCCCCAAGCUAACCAGAGUUACAAUGAAGAACGUAUAUAUGCUCCUCACACCUCACUGACUAUAAACUAGAAAAAUGAUGAGUUUGUGAGCUUCAUAUAAAUCAUUGAUAGCCAUA